rnacentral:ncRNA from 2 species
UGAAUCAAGCCGACUCGCGGUCUGUGUGAGCUCCGGAUGAAGGGAAGCUGGUGAGCCCCGACGGUCGCGAUCGGGGCGAGGCCGGCACGGUCCCGCCACUGUGAGUGGGGAGCACGCACCCCGAUGAACGCCACUGUCCGAGUCGCGGAUGGGAAGGCGGGGCGCGCGCGACGAUCCACGAGUCAGGAGACCUGUCCGGAUGCUCGGGCGUCC